GGUGAAAAGAGGUUAUUUGAUAUUAGCUCACUUGAUGAAUGGAGAAACCAAGCUUAUGAAAAUGCCAAGUUGUUUAAAGAAAAGGUUAAAAUAUGCCAUGAAAAAAGGAUACAAAAGCUUGAGUUUAAUGUAGGUGAUUAUGUAUUGCUAUACAACUCUCGUUUAAGAUUUUUUGCAGGGAAACUUCUCUCUAAAUGGGAAGGCCCCUAUGUUAUCGAGGAGGUCUAUCGUUCUGGUGCCAUAAAAAUCAACAACUUCGAAGGCACAAAUCCGAAGGUGGUAAACGGUCAAAGAAUCAAACACUAUAUCUCAGGUAAUCCCAUAAAUGUUGAAACCAAU
rnacentral:rRNA from 1 species